UCCAGACUUUGAUCCUGGCUCAGGACGAACGCUGGCGGCGCGCCUAACACAUGCAAGUCGAACGAGAGAUGAGGAGCUUGCUCUUCAAAUCGAGUGGCGAACGGGUGAGUAACGCGUGAGGAACCUGCCUCAAAGAGGGGGACAACAGUUGGAAACGACUGCUAAUACCGCAUAAGCCCACAGCUCGGCAUCGAGCAGAGGGAAAAGGAGUGAUCCGCUUUGAGAUGGCCUCGCGUCCGAUUAGCUGGUUGGUGAGGUAACGGCCCACCAAGGCAACGAUCGGUAGCCGGACUGAGAGGUUGAACGGCCACAUUGGGACUGAGACACGGCCCAGACUCCUACGGGAGGCAGCAGUGGGGAAUAUUGCACAAUGGGGGAAACCCUGAUGCAGCGACGCCGCGUGGAGGAAGAAGGUCUUCGGAUUGUAAACUCCUGUUGUUGAGGAAGAUAAUGACGGUACUCAACAAGGAAGUGACGGCUAACUACGUGCCAGCAGCCGCGGUAAAACGUAGGUCACAAGCGUUGUCCGGAAUUACUGGGUGUAAAGGGAGCGCAGGCGGGAGAACAAGUUGGAAGUGAAAUCCAUGGGCUCAACCCAUGAACUGCUUUCAAAACUGUUUUUCUUGAGUAGUGCAGAGGUAGGCGGAAUUCCCGGUGUAGCGGUGGAAUGCGUAGAUAUCGGGAGGAACACCAGUGGCGAAGGCGGCCUACUGGGCACCAACUGACGCUGAGGCUCGAAAGUGUGGGUAGCAAACAGGAUUAGAUACCCUGGUAGUCCACACCGUAAACGAUGAUUACUAGGUGUUGGAGGAUUGACCCCUUCAGUGCCGCAGUUAACACAAUAAGUAAUCCACCUGGGGAGUACGACCGCAAGGUUGCAACUCAAAUGAAUUGACGGA
rnacentral:rRNA from 1 species